UACUCGUACGGGAGGCAGCAGUGGGGAAUUUUGCGCAAUGGGGGAAACCCUGACGCAGCAACGCCGCGUGAGUGAUGAAGGCCUUCGGGUCGUAAAGCUCUGUCAGAGGGGAAGAAAUGCAGGGGUGCUAAUAUCAUCUUUGCUUGACGGUACCCUCAAAGGAAGCACCGGCUAACUCCGUGCCAGCAGCCGCGGUAAUACGGAGGGUGCGAGCGUUGUUCGGAAUUAUUGGGCGUAAAGCGCGUGUAGGCGGUUUGGUAAGUCUGAUGUGAAAGCCCCGGGCUCAACCUGGGAAGUGCAUUGGAAACUGUCAGACUUGAAUACGGGAGAGGGUAGUGGAAUUCCUAGUGUAGGAGUGAAAUCCGUAGAUAUUAGGAGGAACACCGGUGGCGAAGGCGGCUACCUGGACCGAUAUUGACGCUGAGACGCGAAAGCGUGGGGAGCAAACAGGAUUAGAUACCCUGGUAGUCCACGCCGUAAACGAUGAGUACUAGGUGUUGCGGGUAUUGACCCCUGCAGUGCCGCAGCUAACGCAUUAAGUACUCCGCCUGGGAAGUACGGUCGCAAGACUAAAACUCAAAGGAAUUGACGG
rnacentral:rRNA from 1 species